UUAAAACUAAAAGACAAUUUGCACCCCAAACUUGUGUUACAGCCUUAGCCGGUCACUUUUGACCGGUUAAGUGAAGAAAGUGUGCGUUUUGUUACGUAUAAUGAAGUUUGGGAUGUACUUAAACACCUUUUUUUGGUUUGGGGUGCAAAAGUUAACAAUGAUAUAAAGUUUGGGGUAUAAAUUGUCUUUUAGUCUAAAAGAAAUCAACAGGGGCAGUUGUAUAUUCUGCCUCGUAUAUAUAUUCGCCCCUAUGGGUAAGAUUACAUGACUAACUAUUUUAAUUAAUUAAUAAAUACUCCCUCCACUGCUAAAUAUAUGUGACGUUUAAGGUUUUUGCACACAGAUUAAUGAUGUUAAAACUCCUAAAAUUAAUAUGUAUUACCAAAAAUACCUUUGCAUGGAUAAAUGAAAAGUUAAAUUGUAAGUGAUAAGGAUAAGAGACAUAUUGUUAGAGGACAAAGAAAAUAUAGGAAUUAAAGAGAGUAUAUGGGUAAGAUAUCAAAAAAGAGAGAAAACGUAUCUUUAAAAAAAUAGGAGAUAAUUAAAGAGAGUAUUAAAUGUUAGGAGUAAUUAAGGAAAUAAUGUAAUCAAUUCUCCUAGAAAUGGUAAAAAACACUUUUAUCCCACUGUAGUUGUAGUGUUUUAAGCAAUUAGUCACUAUGCUUUUAAAAUAUUCAAUUAGUCUACUGUACUUUUAAAAAAUGUUCAAUCAAGCAAUUCUGUCCAAUUUCUUGGACGGACGUUAAAAAAAUUGGGUCAAUUUUCCUACGUGACUUUUGAAAAAAAAAACAAGUUAUUUCCUACGUGGCGUCAGCCAAAUUCCUAAUACUAUUGAGCCACUGCACUUUAAAAAAAUCCAAUUGACCCAUUGUGGUUUUAAAAAUAUUUUUAUGUUUUAUUUUCUUUCUUUUUCUUUAUCUAAAUAUUUAUAAUAUGUAUAAUAUUAAUAAAA
rnacentral:lncRNA from 1 species